GAGCUGUCUGUCUUUUCCAUCUGGGCUGCAUACUGAGCUGAGAAGGUCAAGAGAAUGUUCUAUGGACAGCACAUAUGCCAGAGUUUUGGAGAUCACUGUGCAUAGAGAGCCCAGCUAGUUUCACAAUCACUCUGUGCAAGUCAGCCAUACAGGGGGGACAGAGCAGAGGGUGUCUAUCUUGAAGUCUCCUCCUAGAAUGCAGGUUGCCUAGCAACAAGAU
rnacentral:lncRNA from 1 species